rnacentral:lncRNA from 1 species
AUAAUUUGACUCUUUACUUAGAAUAGCAAAAUGGGCUUUGGCUGUUUUCUGCUAACACAUAAUCUCUUCUCUUCUUUUUCUUACUCACUCGAGUCUUGACAUUUCUGAGGUACACACCCAAUAUACAAAAUCUCUCUCUAUUUUGCUCAUAAGCCUCACUCUAUAAGCUUUGAAUUUUCCUAGGUUCGUUUCAUUUUCUUUAAUUUUUUGUUAUAUAUAUUUUUCUAAAAAUUUUUAUUUGUUAGAUUUUUAAUGAUAUAAUUGUUUCUUUCUGGGUACAUUCUAAUGGUCAAAACAACGAAUAUGCUUUAAUUCUAUCAACUGUCCUCUUUUUUCCCCAUUUAUUUAUUUUUAUUUUGAUUGGUUCAAUCAAGUAUUCAAAUCCUUUUUUUUUCUUUUUUCUUUUUGAAUUUACAACUGAGAAAUAUACUAUAAAAUAGAAAAAAACCUAGAGUUUCUCAGCUUUUUUUUUUUAUUAAUCUUGUUUGGUUUGCUUUGAUUCAUGUUUUUCUUGUUUCUUUUUUGUGGAGUUCACAGAGCAUUGAACAAUUCCCAAAUUUAUACGUUAUUGUCUCGCUAUUGCUUUGUUCAUCAGUUUUGUAACUUUCUAACUGGUGCAUUAUUUUUUCUUUAGCUAAGAAAAAACAUUUUUUUAAUUGAUUGGGUUCUUGAAUUAUGUAUUGAUUUUGAGUUUUAUAAUCUGGGUAUUUGCAGAAUUGUUUUAUAAUCUGGGUAUUUGCAGAAUUGUAAGUUCUAUACUUUUUGGAGUGAGAUUUGAAGAAUCCCAAUUGACAAAAAGGCAAUCUUUUGGGAUUGGGAUUUUAAAUUAUGGUUGAAUUUUCAACUGUUUAAGAUCUGGGUGUGUCUUUAGAAUUUUCAAAGGGAAGAGGAUGUAUGCUGUGGGGAGACUAGGUAGCUAUAUAUCUCGUGGUGUUUAUACUGUGUCUGGUCCAUUUCAUCCCAUUGGUGGUGCUGUUGAUAUAAUUGUAGUUGAAAUACCUGAUGGGACCUUUAAAACAUCACCUUGGUAUGUUCGGUUUGGUAAAUUUCAAGGGGUUUUAAAGAUAAGGUAACCUAUCCUCCAAACCUAUGAGAUUAUCAUCGUCGACACCAUAAUCCCUAAAAUCCUCUCCAUGGCCAAUGGGAAACUAGUCAGUUGGAUUACCCUAUGGUUCUUUUUUGGUAUUUCUGGGUCAACAGUUGUUUUUUUAGGGUUUGUAGGAAUGAUAAUCAUGGUUUUAAAGCAUCAAGUAUUAUCUAAUACAUUAGUUCAUAGUCUACUCAUAUCAGAAAAUCAUGCAAGAAAAACGGGUAUGUUCUCUUUUUCUUUUUACUUGUUCUGCUUCUCUUUUGUUAUUUUCCAUAGAUUCUUUGUUUCACAAAUGGGUUUAGAUUGAUUUUGUUUCAAUCUCUUUGCUGUUUUUUUCCCAUAGGCUCCAAUGCUGGUGGUUUAUAAAUUAGUACAUUAUUCUUUGUUCCUUUCAAGAGCUAAAUUUUGCAUUAUUUCCCAAUAUUUAUGGUCACUCUGGUUAAAACUAAAAUUGAGUCAACCCUACCAAAGUCAGCCUUUCCUAUCAUCCAAUAACCAAUAGCAAAUUGAAAUGGAUAACCUUAUCCAACUUUCAACAGAAACUUAGAAAUCACAAAAUCUUUACAAAAAACUGUAAAAUUUCCCAAAGAUGAACAAAUUACAUGCAAUUUACCCAUUUUUUUGAAACUUCUCAACUUUCAACAGAGUCUUAUUCAAAUAAUACCCCAAAAAAGUUAUGGAUUUUAAGAAACUCCAAAAUUGUGAAGAUCCAAGCUACUAGUUACAAGCAAUAACAAGAUAUGACAUUGUAGCUCAUUUUGCAGCAAACUCAACACAGUUUAUAUUCAGACAAGAAAAAAAGAGAGAAGAAAGUGGGUAUACCUGGAAACACUUGAUCUUGCUUACUUCAGUUUUGUAGCAGCCACAACCAAGAACAAAGCAAAAAAGAGGGGAGAAACCAGCUUCAAUCACUGUUUUAGUUCUCAAAUAUGAAAAAAAAAGUUGUUUUCUUCCCAAAUCUGAAAACAAAUAAGGUUGGGAAAGAAAUUAGUUUAACUUUCAAGGAUAAAAUGGUAAAAUAAUAAAUAAAAGCAAAGGUAUUUUUGUCUGUUAAAAAUACCUACUACACCACUGCCUUCAAUUGCUGCUGAAACCUCCAACUCUUUUUUAGCAUAGCACUGUGGUUGAAAUCAACUUUCACUGCACUGUGUUGCUGAACCAAACAACAUAUCAGUGAGGUUGCUACCCCAACUGCACCUUAAUGACGUUAAAAGCCAAACCAAAGGAGCCCUAAAUUGAAUAGAAUAAAAAGUUGUAUGACUGCACUAAUACAAGAAAUUGGUAUGAAGUCGAGUUGAAUUAUGUUAUAUUACAUGAUGAAUUGAUGAAUUGAUGUUUAACUGAGAAUGAUGGGAUGUGAAUUGAACUGUGUGAUGAAAAUUGAAAUUGGUUACAUUAUUAAAUUUAUAGGUUUAUACUUCAGUUCAGCCGAUGAUGCAUUACGUGCCAGUAUAAUUGCUUUGGUAUAUUUGAUGAUGCAAUUACAUGUCAGUAUAUUUUUUUUAGUACAUCUGAUGAUGCACUUUGCAUGCCAGUAUGAUUGUUUCGGUUUAUUUGAUGAUGCACUAUGUGUGCCAAUAUGAUUGGUUCGGUUUGUCUGAUGAUGCACUAUGUGUUCCAGUAUACAUUUUUUGGUACAUCCGGUGAUGCACUAUGUGUGUCAGUAUAUUUUCUUUUGUUUAUCCGAUGAUGCACUACAGUGCAAGUUUGAGAUGCAGAUUGACUAAUCUGACUAUUCAUUUUGAAAAUCCAAGUCAGGUUAAUAGGAUUAUAUUAAUGUGAUUUGGCUAUAGGGUAGAUUGAAUAUGAAAUGUGAAUUGAUUUGGUAUAAUUACAUACUUAUGAAAUGUGAUAUGUGAUAAUAUAUAAAAGAGCAUGCAAUAUGAGUCGAAAAUGAGCCCUGAAGGCCGAUUGAGGAUUUACGAGCCAAAAGACUAAAAAAUGAUUGAAUGGAUGAAAUGAAAUUGGAUAUGUAAAUUUUUGAAUGUAUAUAUACGAGUAUAUGUUUGUAAAUGGUGAUAUGAAAUUAUCAAACAUGUAUGAAAUGAAAUAUUAUGAAAAAUAGUUAGAUAGGUGUUAUAAAGUAAUAUAUUAGAUAACCAAAUGAAUUGAUCACUAGGUUUGUACUACAAUUUGGUAUACGCAUUAGUUGAAUAAUAGACUUGAGUUGAUUAUUUUCAUUUGAAUAACAUUUAUAUUAUAUUAACAUGAAUUAUAAAAAUACCACUGAGCUUUAACACUUAAUGCACGAUUUAUUAUUCCUUGUGCAGGUUAGGUACAAAUCAAGAUCUCGACCGUGGACUUCAGCAUCCAAUCAAAGAUCCUAGACUCAACGAUGUUUGUGUACCUCUUUCACUUGUUGUUUGGCAUAUAACUAGGUUGUGUUGGAAAAAACGUGUUUGGAAAACACAAUGGAAAAUAAGUUUAAGGGAAAAACCAGAGUUUUAAAUUUUUUUACAAAAAUAAGAACCUAGUUGUGAUAUCUAAAGUAAUAAACACUUAAUCAAACUUGUACCUUUUUGAUUCAUUUAGGAUAAAUGCCUCGAUUGAGUAGUCUUUUACACUAUCUUCUAGCUCACAUCUGCUAAGUGUGUGGGCUUGCUUCGAAUUAGAAAAUUUUUCACAAAAAUUACCAGUGGGACAAUUUUAUAAUUUCUCUAAACUUUUGGGUCAAGUUGUAAAUAAGAAAAAUAUAUUUAGAAAUCUUAUGAAAUACUUUCUUUAGAAAUUUUUCUCUCUACAACUUUCUCUUAAAUUCAAGUGCGUGUAAAAUAAUGACCAAAUUAUCUCUUCAUAUAGGGAGAUUUUAGAGAGUUAAACUAUAAUUAAACAUAAUGUAACGCCCCAAAUUUUACAAGUUUGCUUCUGUAAAAUUUUGACACAAUUGUGUAUCUGCUUUAGUGGUUAACUGUUCUGGGUGUGUGUGAGAGGUCCCAAGUUCAAGCCCUACCUUUGGAAAAUUUUGAUAUUUUUUUGAGUUUAGCCUCAUACUUGAUCAGUGGGCUUAUAUUAAAUUAUGUAUUAAAUCAUAUCAGAAUGGGCUUGCUGGUCUGGUGGUUAAGUUGAGUGUUAGAUUGCUAAAGGUCUUGUAUUCAAAUCUCUGCGCUAGCAAGGGAUUUUAUUUUUGCUUAAUUCCCGGUUAGAGUUUCGGGAGAGUGGGAUUUUGAGUAGUUGGAUGAAGUGGGUUAGUGGAAGAGUGAAUUUAGGGAUUUGGGUAAUUCCUGUUAUUAUUUUAUUUUGUUAAUUAAUAUUUUUGUUCCAUUUCGAAAAAUUUGGUCUCUCUUGGAAGCUUUUGAUGUUUUUCUCUCCUUCGUCUUCUCCUCUUCCCUUUUUCUUGUUGCGCUUCUAUCCAUUCAACAUCUCUUUGUUUCCAAAUCACUAUUUUCUGCUCACAGGUUGCGUACGUAAGUGAUAUGUUUCGCUCAUUUGGUUAGCCUUAGUUUGUAAUCUGUUUAGAACUGUGUGGUUUUGUGCAUUGAUGUAAAUUACAUUUUGGCAGCAGUGAAUUGUGAAGAUCUUGGUUCUACUCUUGUAGGCUAGUAGUCGAUCAUUCAGCGUGUUUGGGGUAGGUGUUGAACAAUGUUUUGGACUUUUGUAGGUAUCGAGUUUCUGAUCAAAACUUGUUUUAGGACUAAUUUCGAGUGUUGUUAGGUUGAUUAUUUUCUUGGGAAGGCUCGGGUGUGGUCUCUACAUAGAAAUGAUACCAGGUGUGUACUCGAAAUGCAGAAAUCGCUUGCGGCAAAAGUCAAAAAAGGCUACUGUCGACAACACACGGGCGUGUGGUAGGCCGUGUGCAACAACACGGUCAUGUGAUUAACGAAGGCUAGGCCAUGCACAAGACACGACCGUGUGAUGGUCGGGAUGUGGCCAUGUAGGCCAUACGGGCAAAACUGGACUAGAUGUGUGGGCCACACCGGCGUGUGGAAUUUGGGCCAGGUCGUGUGAUCCACACGGGAAAAUCACAUGGGUGAGUGGGCCUAUUUAGCUAAAAUGUUUCCUAGGGUUGCACGGGUCGCCCAAGUCAACUGUGAACCUACUGUAGGGUCGGUAAGUGCUACUUAGACCCUAAAUCGUGUGAUCUGAAUAUAUAGUGCAUAAAUUGAGCAUGUUAAACCUAUGCAUGUUUACUUAUUUGUAUGUAUGACUGAUAACUGAAUUUUAGCAUGUAAGCUUGUAUUUCAGUAUGUCUGCAUUGAGCAUGUUUAGUUGCAUCUGCAUUGGGGUGGGAUGAUUCAUUUUUGGAGGAAGUAUACUGAAAGGCUUUCAUGCCUAUUAUCUGGCAACUCAGCUGCAAUAUUACUCAUAAGUGCCGCAUUCGGUACGACUUGAAGUGUAGGGCUGGUGGGUAGGAUACUAAUUUCUGUUACUGUAUGCAUACUGUAUCUGAGAUGGACUAAGGCCCUAAUUUAUAUCUGAAACUGUAUCUGUAUGGGCUAAGGCCUAAACUGCAUCUGAAUCUGUAAUGGGCUUAGGCCCAGACUGCAAUUGACUAAUAACUGUUGUUUGACUGUAUGCAUGUCUUCUGUGGGGAUUACACAUUAAGUUUACGUAAACUCACCCCUUUUUGUUUAUCUGUAUAGGUAACCCCCAAACCUAGACGGAUCGGUGUGGUGGAGGAGUCAACGGUGACCACUUGACUAUUGAAUUGAUUUAAUUCCAUUUAAGGUUUUUAAUUCCUAAUAUUUUUGGGGUAUUUUUUAUGUAAACUGGGAUUUUGGGCUGUUUGCCUUUAUUUUGGAUUUUUAACUAUUUUCAUGGACUUUUAAACUGCAAAUCUCAACAAAUACUCGGUUUAAUCAAAAACAAUAUUUUCCUAAAUGCGAACGGUUUUCUUUAAAUAUCACGGUUUAAAAAGCUUCCGCUAUGAAAUAUAUUUUUAAACGAAUCAAAUUAACGAGAAAAUAGUUUUGGAAUGAACGAAAGAUAAAUAAAAGCUAAUAAAUGGAAACGGUUCUAACUUGAUAAAUUUGAUUUCAAAUUCCAUUCCUUGUGACAUUGCUAGAUUCGGCUAUAACGUCUAGGCCGG